rnacentral:rRNA from 1 species
UACGGAGGGUGCAAGCGUUAUCCGGAUUCACUGGGUUUAAAGGGUGCGUAGGCGGGCAGGUAAGUCAGUGGUGAAAUCCCCGAGCUUAACUUGGGAACUGCCGUUGAUACUAUCUGUCUUGAACACUAUGGAGGUAAGCGGAAUAUGUCAUGUAGCGGUGAAAUGCUUAGAUAUGACAUAGAACACCAAUUGCGAAGGCAGCUUGCUACACAGUUAUUGACGCUGAGGCACGAAAGCGUGGGAAUCAAACAGG